rnacentral:ncRNA from 1 species
UGUGGUUCAAUUCGAAACGAACCGAAGAACCUCACCAAGGUUUGACAUGCCGAUGAUGUCCUCGUGAAAGCGAGGUUUCCGCAAGGACAUCGGCACAGGUACUGCAUGGCUGUCGUCAGCUCGUUCCGUGAGGAGUACCCUUAAGUGGGACAACGAGCGCAACCCCCAUCCCGUGUUAUAUGUAUCACGGGAGACAGAUCCGCCUUUGGCGGAUAGGAAGGAGGGGCAGACGUCAAGUCAGCAUGGUCCUUAUACCUUGGGCUACACACAUGUUACAAUGGGUAGAAACAACGGGUUUUGCCAGACCGCAAGGUCGAGCGAAUCUCUGAAAUCUAUCCUCAGUUGGGAUUGAGGUCUGAAACUCGACCUCAUGAACUCGGAAUUGGUAGUAAUCGCGAAUCAGCCAUGUCGCGGUGAAUACGUUCUUGCCUCUUGCACACACCGCCCGUCAAGCCAACAAAGUCGGCAAAAUUUGAACCCCGCCUAUGGCGGGGGAGGAUUUUACCGGCGAUGGGGGUUAAGUCGUAACAAGGGAUCAGUUCUGGAAGGAGCUGAUGGAUCACCUCCUUU